GACGAACGCUGGCGGCGCGCUUAACACAUGCAAGUCGAGCGGAAAGGCCUGCUUUCCCUUGUGGAUUGCGGGUACUCGAGUGGCGGACGGGUGAGUAACACGUGAGUGAUCUGCCCCCAACUUGGGUAUAAGCCUGGGAAACUGGGUCUAAUUCCCGAUAGGACUGCAGGGUGGUGCCUGUGGUGGAAAACGAUUUUCUAGUGGUUGGGGAUGAGCUCGCGGCCUAUCAGCUUGUUGGUGGGGUAAUGGCCUACCAAGGCGGCGACGGGUAGCCGGCCUGAGAGGGUGGACGGCCACAUUGGGACUGAGAUACGGCCCAGACUCCUACGGGAGGCAGCAGUGGGGAAUAUUGCACAAUGGGCGGAAGCCUGAUGCAGCGACGCCGCGUGGGGGAUGACGGCCUUCGGGUUGUAAACUCCUUUCGACCGCGAGGAAGCCACCUGGUUGGAAGGGUGGUGACGGUAGUGGUAGAAGAAGCACCGGCUAACUACGUG
rnacentral:rRNA from 1 species